CGCGUUGGCCGCACCGCGGCGACACUGCAGCGGCAAGGGUGUUACGUCACGUAGAAAUGACGUGCUAAUGGUUAAUGGCUUCCAUUCGGUCGAGCUAGGCUUUUAUGAGCGAGCCAGAAUCCAAUCCAAAGAAAACACAUGAGAUAUGAUGCGAUCGGCCGGUAGAAUCAUGAAAAUAUGAUCGCCUGAGCGCCAUACGAUCGCGAUAGAGAUUAAUAUUUGACCGGAGACGGAUCGGUCGUCCGCGAAUUACGUGCUGAAAACUGCUUUGCACGAAGAGGAACGACGUAACCGUUAUACAUUCUCACAUCGUCCCUACGUACUGGUUUCGGACCUGAUGCAAGGAACAUCGAGGUUCGCCGCGACGUUGCAGGACAUACAUCGCACUAGGUGACAUGCCUAGCACUCGUGAUAUUGAACGAGCCGAACGCAAUGGGAGAUUUCGUUCACGAAGAAGAGACAGCGCGAGCAGUGACGUGAACCGGCAGCACAGCUUUGACGGUAUCGACAAGCGACACAGGAGACAUGGCAAAAGUAAGAGCUCCGGAAAGAAGAAGAAGAAACGUUCGCGUGACAAGUCACUCGAAACAAUUCCAACUGUAGCUUCAUCCGUAGUGAAACCAUUAGUUGAAUAUUCCGAUGUGAGUAGCGAAGAUCUUUCGGAGCCCGAAGCGGGAGAGAUACAAUCGGAGGACAGUCGCGCUAAUAGUUAUACGGACGGAGAAGUACCUGAAUCGUUCCUUCAAAGACGGUAUUAUGGCGGUAGCCCGGUCCGCACUCUUGGAGCGUCGCCUAUCAGCCUGUCUCCGUCACCGUCGACUCAACAUCGACACUCCAAUAGACGGUACUCGUUGUCGAACGAGCAACAACAACAAUCGGCGACGAUGCAUGGCGCGACGCCUGAAUACGAAGAGGAAUCGAGACGGUAUGCUCGACGAAAGGAGAAGAAGCAUAAGCGCGAGAAAAAGAAGAAAAGAAGUUCGAGUCCGUCGUCGAAUUCGGGAAAGAAGAAGAAGAGAAAAUCCAAGAGGCAUUCUCACAGCAUGAGCCCGCAUCGCGCGGUCACCGAGGAAAUCGGAGGAAUUCCAAGUCCAAAUCGCGAGAAGCAGCUGCGAGAAUCAGCUAUCGCUUCCAUUAAUUGGUCAGAAUCGCCACCGUUGCCGCUCAAAGACAACAUGUCGCCCAUUUCACCGGCUACGCCGCGUGAACAAAGAUGCCACAGUGACGACCUAGUGGAACUAGAAAUGUCGCGGCAGGUAUCUCGAAAUGUCACUCCGCCGUCUCUCUCGGCGACGCGUGGCCAAGUCGAGUCGCCGCACACGCCUCUAAUGCCUCCAUGCGCUACGACGCCGGAGAAUAAGACUUGCCCAGUUGCCAUACCCAAGCACUGCAGCCCCGAUCGACAGAAACGUAGUCUCAGUCCCAUCCACGUGACGCGCCCUCGUCCCAGCGUUAGUCCCGGACCUGUGGGGAUAAAUCGCAGAAGACCGCACAGCCCGAGUCCACCAUCGAGACGAAGAGAUCACAGUCCACCUACGCGAAGAAGAGACUUUAGCCCUACGCCGGUGCUCCACAGACUGAGGCAUAGCCCGAGCCCGGCCACUGUCAGACGGCGAGAGUUUAGUCCGAGUCCCGGAAGCAGCCACAGGCGACGAACCGACAGCGGAAUUAUCUCCCCUAAACGUAGAAGACGAGACGAGCCAUCCGAUCGACGUAGUCACCGGGUUCACGACAAGGAUAGGAGGGACAAGCGAAAAUCAAGAUCGACUAGGAGUCCCACUGGAAGCAGAUUACAUUUGCCUUUGUCUCGAUCGCGAUCACGCAGUCCGGCAAGAUGGCGAAAACUAUCUCGCUCGAGAUCGCGUUCGCGGCCCAGAAGGAGUCGCACUCCGAAAAGAUCGCGCUCGCCCAGCAAAUCUCGCAAGACUUCGAGAAAACUCAAAUCGAAGAGUCCGCGUCCCAGAAUACCUUCUCCUUCUCCUCACAGGGCUCGUGCUAGAAGUCCAUCGAGCAUCACCGCUCGAAACCUCCGAGUCCAAGCAAAGAUCAGCGAGACUAGUCUUUUCGCGGAACUCGUCAAAGACCGUAACAUGAGGGAAUUGGCGUUUAAGAAGUUACAAGCCGCAAAGGAAAAAGUCGGGAAUCAAGAUGAGGUGCAAAUCAUAGAGAGCAUCGACGAGAAAGACGGUGAUGGUAACGCGAUCUCCGAAAAUAAAGUUUCCACUGACAAUAAGGACAGAUCUACAAAUCACAAGGAGCAGCACGUGAAAGCUGGCGAUAACGUGGUUGAUGUCACCGAUAUUCCCGUUCCGACGAGCGACGACAGUGCUGUAACGUGCAAAACGCCACCGUUACCACCAACAGGUCAACCAAUCGGUGUUCCAUUACCUAAUCCGAUAUCCGCUGCGAUGAAUCCACUCGUUUCUCACUCAAGCAUUGUACAUACCUCGCCCAAUCCACCGUCGAUAAUGCCCAACAGUUGUCCGAUCGUGUCGCAUAGCCCAAAUUUCUCGGCUCCCGCCCCUGGAGUACAACCACAACAACCACCACCGCCGCCACCGCCGCCGCCACCGCCACUGCCACAAUCUGCUGAAUCCAUGUCGACGCAAGUGUCCGCCCCUUUGCCUAUGUCGGUGCCGCCAAUUCCACCUACACCAAUUUUACCAAAUAUGUCUGUCCCACCACCACCGAUUCCCGUUCCAGCGCCUAAUACUAUCAUGUCCAAGUUUAAUCCACCAAAUAAUCUUGUACCACUUAAAUCUGUGGAUCCUCCCAAGCCUCCCAUAGUAACAUUCACGACCAAAAGUUUAAAGAGAUUGCCGUUGCCACCUGGCAUUAACCAAAAUGAUUUAGAAAGCAUAGAUUCCCCCCCAAGCCGUUCUCCAAGUCCUCCUAGCAAAGCGCAAUUAAAGGUCCCAGUAUCAUCAACAAAGCCACUGCAAAAAAGGAGUAUCAAGGAUCUGCCAAUGCCGCCAGUCGUACCUGGAUCGGAGGACUUGAGUGGCGAGGACGAUCCAAACGCAACGCCGCCGCGUUUGAAGGUCGAACGAGUGGCACCAAAGCCGAAAUUGAAAAGACCAAAAAUAUUGAAACGCAGAGGAUCGCGAAACUGUCAUACUCCUAUGUCGGCUUCCGGUGGCAAAGAUUGGGGCGAACGAUGCGUUGAUGUGUUCGAGUUUAUUGCGCAGAUUGGAGAGGGUACAUAUGGACAGGUGUACAAGGCAAGAGAUAAACGAUCCGGUGUGAUGGUAGCAUUGAAAAAAGUUCGACUUGAAAACGAGAAAGAAGGCUUUCCUAUUACUGCAGUCAGAGAAAUAAAGAUUCUGCGACAGCUUAAUCACAAAAACAUUGUUAAUCUUAGAGAAAUCGUCACUGAUAAGCAAGACGCCCUGGAUUUUCGCAAGGACAAAGGCUCCUUUUAUCUAGUUUUCGAAUACAUGGACCAUGAUUUGAUGGGUCUGCUGGAAUCCGGUAUGGUGGAUUUCAACGAGAUGAAUAAUGCUAGUAUCAUGAAACAGUUGUUGGAUGGUUUAAAUUAUUGUCACAGCAAAAAUUUUUUGCACCGGGAUAUCAAAUGCUCAAAUAUAUUGAUGAAUAACAAGGGUGAGGUUAAACUGGCUGAUUUUGGAUUGGCACGACUUUAUAACGCAGAGGAUAGACAGAGACCGUACACCAAUAAGGUAAUCACUCUGUGGUAUAGACCUCCUGAACUUUUGCUGGGAGAAGAACGUUAUGGGCCUGCGAUUGAUGUCUGGAGUUGCGGAUGUAUUUUGGGAGAAUUAUUUUCCAAGAAACCUUUAUUUCAGGCCAACGUAGAUCUGAUGCAAUUGGAAAUGAUUUCGAGGGUUUGUGGAACACCAACUCCUGCUGUUUGGCCUUCUGUGAUAAAAUUACCACAUUGGCAUACACUUAAGCCAAAAAAGCAGCAUAGAAGACGUCUGAGGGAGGAUUUUGCGUUUAUGCCAGGAGCAGCCUUGGAUCUCCUGGAUAAAAUGUUAGAAUUGGAUCCUGAGAAACGGAUUACGGCAGCCGAUGCGCUUAAGAGUGCUUGGUUGAAAAACGUUCAGCCCGAACAGAUGCCAGCACCACAACUUCCGACUUGGCAAGAUUGUCAUGAACUUUGGAGCAAAAAGCGGAAGCGCUUGUUACGGGAACAGCAAGAGAGUGUUGCAGCAAAGUUGCCUCCUCUUCUUCCAUAUCCGAAUAAAGGGGGUCCCAACAAGGAUGAUCUAUCAGAUGUCGGGGGGAGAUAAUAUAAUUGGGCUGAAUAAUAGGUGGACAAAUUUUGUAGCACUUGUAAGAAUAUAUAAUAGGUCCUCUAAACGAUUAAA
rnacentral:misc_RNA from 1 species